rnacentral:misc_RNA from 1 species
UACGGAGGGGACAAGCGUUGUCCGGAUUUAUUGGGCGUAAAGCGAGCGCAGGCGGUCUUUUAAGUCGGAUGUGAAAGCCCAGGGCUCAACCGUGGAGGGGCAUUGGGAACUGGAAGACUUGAAUGCAGAAGAGGAAAGUGGAAUUCCAGGUGUAGCGGUGAAACGCGUAGAUAUAUGGAGGAACACCAGUGGCGAAGGCGACUUUCUGGUCUGUAAUUGACGCUGAGGCGCGAAAGCGUGGGGAGCGAACAGG